GGGGAAUCUUAGACAAUGGGCGCAAGCCUGAUCUAGCCAUGCCGCGUGAGCGAUGAAGGCCUUAGGGUUGUAAAGCUCUUUCGUGGGGGAAGAUAAUGACUGUACCCCAAGAAGAAGCCCCGGCUAACUCCGUGCCAGCAGCCGCGGUAAUACGGAGGGGGCUAGCGUUGUUCGGAAUUACUGGGCGUAAAGCGCACGUAGGCGGACCAGAAAGUUGGGGGUGAAAUCCCGGGGCUCAACCUCGGAACUGCCUUCAAAACUCCUGGUCUUGAGUUCGAGAGAGGUGAGUGGAAUUCCGAGUGUAGAGGUGAAAUUCGUAGAUAUUCGGAGGAACACCAGUGGCGAAGGCGGCUCACUGGCUCGAUACUGACGCUGAGGUGCGAAAGCGUGGGGAGCAAAC
rnacentral:rRNA from 1 species